rnacentral:rRNA from 1 species
CCUACGGGAGGCAGCAGUGGGGAAUAUUGCACAAUGGGGGAAACCCUGAUGCAGCGACGCCGCGUGAGUGAAGAAGUAUUUCGGUAUGUAAAGCUCUGUCAGCAGGGAAGAAAAUGACGGUACCUGACCAAGAAGCCCCGGCUAACUACGUGCCAGCAGCCGCGGUAAUACGUAGGGGGCCAGCGUUAUCCGGAUUUACUGGGGGUAAAGGGAGCGUAGACGGCAGGGCAAGUCUGGAGUGAAAGGCGGGGGCUCAACCCCCGGACUGCUCUGGAAACUGGCAGGCUGGAGUGCAGGAGAGGUAAGUGGAAUGCGUGGUGUAGCGGUGAAAUGCGUAGAUAUUAGGAGGAACACCAGUGGCGAAGGCGGCUUACUGGACUGUAACUGACGCUGAGGCUCGAAAGCGUGGGGAGCAAACAGGAUUAGAUACCCUUGUAGUC